CCUGCCUCAGCCUCCCAAAUUAUUGAGAUUACAGGAAUAAAAUGUGACAUAUGGAGUCAAUAAAGUCCUUGGAAAACUGGCCUCAUAUUCCGUGUACACAGUCCCUGCACAGCAUUUCUUACCUGUGGUAACAUGGGUACCUUAAUGGCACUGGUUCCGAGUUCUUCUUCCUCCUGGAUACAGACCUGCCAAAGAAAAACCAAUCAGAAAGAGAUGCCUUCCCACCUUGGUCUGAGCCCAG